AGAUCCUGUGAGUUGCGCUGCUCGUCGAAUGCCACAACUCGUGCCGACGGAAGCUUGAGUUCGUUCGGGAUCACGAUUUCUAUUCCGAAGGCUAAGGCAAAGGGGGCUCCCCUGUGGGCAGUCUUUGGGUAGUUCGGUAUACCCACAACACAAGAUAAAGCUCAUCUGUCCAAGUUUCCUUUACUUUUUCAAGUCUCGCCUUGAUUCCUUGUAAUAGAAUCCUGUUAGUAACCUCGGCUUCAUCAUUUGCUUGCGGAUGGGCUACUGACGUAAAGUUAUGGGAGAUGUUUAAGUCCUCACAAAAUUCUGCAAACCUUGCUCCAGCAAAUUGUCGCCCAUUAUCAGUAAU
rnacentral:lncRNA from 1 species